rnacentral:hammerhead_ribozyme from 1 species
AUUCAGCUGAUGAGUCCAAAAUAAGACGAAACUCGCGUUCUGUAU